UACGUAGGUGGCAAGCGUUGUCCGGAUUUACUGGGCGUAAAGAGCGCGCAGGCGGUCGUUCAAGUCGCGUGUGAAAGCCCCCGGCUCAACUGGGGAGGGUCACGCGAUACUGAUCGACUCGAAGGCAGGAGAGGGUAGUGGAAUUCCCGGUGUAGUGGUGAAAUGCGUAGAUAUCGGGAGGAACACCAGUGGCGAAAGCGGCUCUCUGGAACGGUACUGACGCUGAGACGCGAAAGCGUGGGGAGCAAACAGG
rnacentral:rRNA from 1 species